UCUAACAUGUGCGCGAGUCAUUGGGACUGCAAAGCCUAAAGGCGCAAUGAAAGUGAAGGUCGAUCUUAGCGUCGACCGAGGGAGGAUGGCUCGCGUUACGAUGCGAGCUCGCACUCCCGGGGCGUCUCGUGCUCAUUGCGAGCAGAGGCGCACCCAGAGCGUACACGUUGGGACCCGAAAGAUGGUGAACUAUGCCUGGUCAGGACGAAGUCAGGGGAAACCCUGAUGGAGGUCCGUAGCGAUUCUGACGUGCAAAUCGAUCGUCGGAACUGGGUAUAGGGGCGAAAGACUAAUCGAACCAUCUAGUAGCUGGUUCCCUCCGA
rnacentral:rRNA from 1 species